rnacentral:rRNA from 1 species
GCAAGUCGAGGGGUAUAGUUCUUCGGAACUAGAGACCGGCGCACGGGUGCGUAACACGUAUGCAAUCUACCUUUCACAGAGGGACAGCCCAGAGAAAUUUGGAUUAAUACCUCAUAGUAUAAUGAGUUGGCAUCAACACAUUAUUAAAGUCACAACGGUGAAAGAUGAGCAUGCGUCCCAUUAGCUAGAUGGUAAGGUAACGGCUUACCAUGGCUACGAUGGGUAGGGGUCCUGAGAGGGAGAUC